CGUACACUCCUACGGGAGGCAGCAGUGGGGAAUAUUGCACAAUGGGCGCAAGCCUGAUGCAGCCAUGCCGCGUGUAUGAAGAAGGCCUUCGGGUUGUAAAGUACUUUCAGCGGGGAGGAAGGCGAUAAGGUUAAUAACCUUGUCGAUUGACGUUACCCGCAGAAGAAGCACCGGCUAACUCCGUGCCAGCAGCCGCGGUAAUACGGAGGGUGCAAGCGUUAAUCGGAAUUACUGGGCGUAAAGCGCACGCAGGCGGUCUGUCAAGUCGGAUGUGAAAUCCCCGGGCUCAACCUGGGAACUGCAUUCGAAACUGGCAGGCUAGAGUCUUGUAGAGGGGGGUAGAAUUCCAGGUGUAGCGGUGAAAUGCGUAGAGAUCUGGAGGAAUACCGGUGGCGAAGGCGGCCCCCUGGACAAAGACUGACGCUCAGGUGCGAAAGCGUGGGGAGCAAACAGGAUUAGAAACCCGAGUAGUCCCAU
rnacentral:rRNA from 1 species